rnacentral:rRNA from 1 species
GACGAACGCUGGCGGCGUGCUUAACACAUGCAAGUCGAACGGAAAGGCCCUGCUUUUGUGGGGUGCUCGAGUGGCGAACGGGUGAGUAACACGUGAGUAACCUGCCCUUGACUUUGGGAUAACUUCAGGAAACUGGGGCUAAUACCGGAUAGGAGCUCUUGCUGCAUGGUGGGGGUUGGAAAGUUUCGGCGGUUGGGGAUGGACUCGCGGCUUAUCAGCUUGUUGGUGGGGUAGUGGUGUACCAAGGCUUUGACGGGUAGCCGGCCUGAGAGGGUGAACGGCCACAAUGGGCCUAAGAGAGGGCCCAGACUCCUACGGGAGGCAGAAGUGGGAAAUAUUGCACAAUGGGCGGAAGCCAGAUACAGCAGCGCCGCGUGCGGGAUGACGGCCUUCUGGUUGUAAACCGCUUUCGCCUGUGACGAAGCGUGAGUGACGGUAAUGGGUAAAGAAGCACCGGCUAACUACGUG